rnacentral:tRNA from 1 species
CGUUAUGAAGCUAUGUUAGCAUUAACCUUUUAAGUUAAAGACUGAGAAACCUUAUUCUCCAUAACGA